GACGAACGCUGGCGGCGUGCUUAACACAUGCAAGUCGAACGGAAAGGCCCUGCUUUUGUGGUGUGCUCGAGUGGCGAACGGGUGAGUAACACGUGAGUAACCUGCCCUUGACUUUGGGAUAACUUCAGGAAACUGGGGCUAAUACCGGAUAGGAGCUCCUGCUGCAUGGUGGGGGUUGGAAAGUUUCGGCGGUUGGGGAUGGACUCGCGGCUUAUCAGCUUGUUGGUGGGGUAGUGGCUUACCAAGGCUUUGACGGGUAGCCGGCCUGAGAGGGUGACCGGCCACAUUGGGACUGAGAUACGGCCCAGACUCCUACGGGAGGCAACAGUGGGGAAUAUUGCACAAUGGGCGGAAGCCUGAUGCAGCAACGCCGCGUGCGGGAUGACGGCCUUCGGGUUGUAAACCGCUUUCGCCUGUGACGAAGCGUGAGUGACGGUAAUGGGUAAAGAAGCACCGGCUAACUACGUG
rnacentral:rRNA from 1 species